rnacentral:misc_RNA from 1 species
GGAUGGUUGAUUGAUAUAAUGCACAAUGCCCUACUAUUCUAGACAUAAUGUACAGCGCGCUAAGAGAAUACAAUCGAUCGUCCAUAAGGGAAUGCACCCCGCGGAAAGGAAACAAGGGCUAAUUGGCCGCACUCUACCCUGUUAUGGGGCAAGAAAGGGAUUGACAAACGAAGCACUGGGGAUUCAGAAAAGGGAGAGACCAUUUGUUAAUAAAAGGCAUAAAGGUAGCACUGGAUAAACUUUCUCCGAUCUAUGAUGAUGCCUGCCUUCCCUUUCCCUUCCCUUACUAAUGUGGGAUCAGUUCCUCCCGAACACCUCCUAGGAGCGUCGCAUUCGAUGCAUA